rnacentral:tRNA from 1 species
GAGGGUAUAGGUUGGUGGUGGAGUGCAUGCUUAGCAUGCAUGAGGUCCUGGGUUCAAUCUCCAGUAUCUCCA